rnacentral:rRNA from 1 species
CCCUUAGAUGUUCUGGGCCGCACGCGCGCUACACUGAUUCAUGCAACAAGUUUUGUCCUUGGCUGAUAGGCCUGGGUAAUCUUUGAACGUGAAUCGUGAUGGGGAUAGAUGAUUGCAAUUAUUCAUCUUCAACGAGGAAUUCCUAGUAAACGCAAGUCAUCAGCUUGCAUUGAUUACGUCCCUGCCUUUUGUACACACCGCCCGUCGCACCUACCGAUUGAAUGGUCCGGUGAAAUCUUCGGAUCUGAGAGAUGUCUGAUUAAUUUCGGACGCCUUUUGGAAAAGUUGUUUAAACCUUACCAUUUAGAGGAAGGUGAAGUCGUAACA